GGUGGCUCAGUGGUAGAGUGCUUGCCUUGUAAGCCAGAGGUCCUGGGUUCGAUUCCUCAGCACCA
rfam:Dipodomys ordii contig_33225, whole genome shotgun sequence.